rnacentral:rRNA from 1 species
CUCGAGUGGCGAACGGGUGAGUAACACGUGGGUGAUCUGCCCUGCACUUCGGGAUAAGCCUGGGAAACUGGGUCUAAUACCGGAUAGGAGCCAUUUUUAGUGUGAUGGUUGGAAAGUUUUUUCGGUGUAGGAUGAGCUCGCGGCCUAUCAGCUUGUUGUGGGGUAAUGGCCUACCAAGGCGGCGACGGGUAGCCGGCCUGAGAGGGUGGACGGCCACAUUGGGACUGAGAUACGGCCCAGACUCCUACGGGAGGCAGCAGUGGGGAAUAUUGCACAAUGGGCGCAAGCCUGAUGCAGCGACGCCGCGUGGGGGAUGACGGCCUUCGGGUUGUAAACUCCUUUCGCUAGGGACGAAGCUUUUUGUGACGGUACCUAGAUAAGAAGCACCGGCUAACUACGUGCCAGCAGCCGCGGUAAUACGUAGGGUGCGAGCGUUGUCCGGAAUUACUGGGCGUAAAGGGCUCGUAGGUGGUUUGUCGCGUCGUCUGUGAAAUUCCGGGGCUUAACUCCGGGCGUGCAGGCGAUACGGGCAUAACUUGAGUACUGUAGGGGUAACUGGAAUUCCUGGUGUAGCGGUGAGAUGCGCAGAUAUCAGGAGGAACACCGAUGGCGAAGGCAGGUUACUGGGCAGUUACUGACGCUGAGGAGCGAAAGCAUGGGUAGCGAACAGGAUUAGAUACCCUGGUAGUCCAUGCCGUAAACGGUGGGCGCUAGGUGUGAGGGUCUUUUCACGACUUUCGUGCCGUAGCUAACGCAUUAAGCGCCCCGCCUGGGGAGUACGGCCGCAAG